rnacentral:rRNA from 1 species
UACGUAGGGGGCAAGCGUUGUCCGGAAUCAUUGGGCGUAAAGCGCGCGUAGGUGGCCCAGUAAGUCCGUUGUGAAAGUCAAAGGCUCAACCUUUGAAUGCCGAUGGAUACUGCUGGGCUAGAGUCCGGAAGAGGCGAGUGGAAUUCCUGGUGUAGCGGUGGAAUGCGCAGAUAUCAGGAGGAACACCAAUAGCGAAGGCAGCUCGCUGGGACGGUACUGACACUAAGGCGCGAAAGCGUGGGGAGCGAACAGG